CAGAAGGGAUGGUGUGUUUUUUUUACAGAAUUGCCUGGUCAAAUGAUGAUUUUCUCACCAUCUUUCGGCUGAUGUUGUG
rnacentral:snoRNA from 1 species